AGAGUUUGAUCCUGGCUCAGAACGAACGCUGGCGGCGUGCCUAACACAUGCAAGUCCAACGUGAAAGGGGAGCAAUCCCCUGGUAGGGUGGCAAACGGGUGAGUAAUACAUGGGUGAUCUACCUUAGGGAUGGGGAUAUCCUUCCGAAAGGAGGGUUAAUACCGAAUAUCGUCCGGGUGACGGGAGUCACUUGGGGAAAGGGAGGCCUCUGGCAACAUGCUUCCGCUCCGGGAGGAGCCCAUGGCCCAUCAGCUGGUUGGUAGGGUAACGGCCUCCCAAGGCGACGAUGCGUAGCCGACCUGAGAGGGUGACCGGCCACACUGGCACUGAGACACGGCCCAGACUCCUACGGGAGGCGAC
rnacentral:rRNA from 1 species